GGUGUUUACUGUCGAACUGAACACUCUACCGUUUACUGUCUGGUGGUGCUCUUCACCGAGUGUCACCAGUGGUCGGUACGUUUACUUUGAAAAAAUUAGAGUGCUCAAAGCGGUUUUUACACGACCGAAUACUGUUGCAUGGAAUAAUGAAAUAGGACUUUGGUCUAUUUUGUGGUCUCGGAACCCAAGGUAAUGAUAGAGGGACAGACGGGGGCAUUAGUAUUGCGACGCUAGAGGUGAAAUUCUUGGACCGUCGCAAGACUAACUAAAGCGAAAGCAUUUGCCAAGAAUGUUUUCAUUAAUCAAGAACGAAAGUUAGAGGUUCGAAGGCGAUCAGAUACCGCCCUAGUUCUAACCAUAAACGAUGCCAACCAGCAAUCAGCCUGUGUUCUCUUGAUGACACGGCUGGCGGCUUCCGGGAAACCAAAGUCUUUCGGUUCCAGGGGAAGUAUGGUUGCAAAGCUGAAACUUAAAGGAAUUGACGGAAGGGCACCACCAGGAGUGGAGCCUGCGGCUUAAUUUGACUCAACACGGGGAAACUCACCCGGCCCGGACACUGUGAGGAUUGACAGGUUGAAGCCCUUUCUUGAUUCAGUGGGUGGUGGUGCAUGGCCGUUCUUAGUUGGUGGAGUGAUUUGUCUGGUUAAUUCCGAUAACGAACGAGACUCUAGCCUACUAAUUAGACCGUGGCGUCCUCGUGCCGCCACGGCGCUUCCUAGAGGGACAGACGG
rnacentral:rRNA from 1 species